GAUGAACGCUAGCGGGAGGCCUAACACAUGCAAGCCGAGCGGUAUGGAUAGCUUGCUAUCCAGAGAGCGGCGUACGGGUGCGUAACACGUGUGCAACCUACCUUUAUCUGGGAGAUAGCCUUUCGAAAGGAAGAUUAAUACCCCAUAAUAUAAUGAUUGGCAUCAAUUAUUAUUGAAAACUCCGGUGGAUAGAGAUGGGCACGCGCAAGAUUAGAUAGUUGGUGAGGUAACGGCUCACCAAGUCAAUGAUCUUUAGGGGUCCUGAGAGGGAGAUCCCCCACACUGGUACUGAGACACGGACCAGACUCCUACGGGAGGCAGCAGUGAGGAAUAUUGGACAAUGGGUGAGAGCCUGAUCCAGCCAUCCCGCGUGAAGGAUGACGGUCCUAUGGAUUGUAAACUUCUUUUGUACAGGGAUAAACCUACCCUCGUGAGGGUAGCUGAAGGUACUGGACGAAUAAGCACCGGCUAACUCCGUG
rnacentral:rRNA from 1 species